rnacentral:rRNA from 1 species
CGAAGGAUGCAAGCGUUAUCCGGAUUCAUUGGGUUUAAAGGGUGCGUAGGCGGCCUGCUAAGUCAGUGGUGAAAUCUUCUCGCUUAACGAGAAAACUGCCAUUGAUACUGGUGGGCUUGAGUACAGAUGCUGUGGGCGGAAUAUGACAUGUAGUGGUGAAAUACAUAGAGAUGUCAUAGAACACCGAUUGCGAAGGCAGCUCACAAAACUGUAACUGACGCUGAGGCACGAAAGUGCGGGGAUCAAACAGGAUUAGAUACCCUGGUAGUCCGCACUGUAAACGAUGAUCACUCGCUGCUGGGGAGCAAUUUCCAGUGGCUUAGCGAAAGCGAUAAGUGAUCCACCUGGGGAGUACGCCGGCAACGGUG